AAGCCUAACUUUUAGAGCACAGAGUUCUGGAUCUGAAAUGGUUGUCCUCUUCGUGUCCUUACCCAGGUGAUGAAAGCACCUUCCCUUGUGUGAAGUAAACAUGGCCUAUUGCUCUUGGCAUUAUUAGCUGUUUUUACUGUUGUUUUUUCUUCUGUGGAAAGCUCCAUGUCCCCCAAAGCCCAGGAAGUUCAGAAGGCAAUGUCAAACUGGAGGAACUGAAACCAUUAAAACUUGUGACAACCGAAUUCUCCACUGGUGAUCUUCUCUUCUCAAGGAGCCCUUUAGUACAAGGGGGUUUCGGAGCAGCUCUUCAGAUGUGGCCUCAAGUAAUUUGGGUUUGUUUGGCUCAGCCCCAUUCCUCAAUGUGUGGGACAAUAUUCAUGGAAUUCCAGUCGCCUAUAAUCUAAUAGUAGAGAUUCUGCAUGCACCCUUCCAGCCCAUCUGUGGUUUUAACAGGAGCUGUUGAUGGAAGUGAUGGGACCAGUUGCCAAGAUCUUAAGUUUUUUGAUGUUAAGGUUCAAGCCAGCUUUCACACUCUCCUCCUUCACCCUCAUCAACAAGCUUCUUAAUUCCUCUUCACUUUCUGCCAUCAGAGUGGUAUC